GAUGAACGCUGGCGGCGUGCUUAACACAUGCAAGUCGAACGGAAAGGCCUCUUCUUGCAGGGGUACUCGAGUGGCGAACGGGUGAGUAACACGUGGGUGAUCUGCCCUGCACUUCGGGAUAAGCCUGGGAAACUGGGUCUAAUACCGGAUAGGACAAUGGUUUGGAUGCUGUUGUGGAAAGUUUUUCGGUGUGGGAUGAGCUCGCGGCCUAUCAGCUUGUUGGUGGGGUAAUGGCCUACCAAGGCGUCGACGGGUAGCCGGCCUGAGAGGGUGUACGGCCACAUUGGGACUGAGAUACGGCCCAGACUCCUACGGGGGGCAGCAGUGGGGAAUAUUGCACAAUGGGCGCAAGCCUGAUGCAGCGACGCCGCGUGGGGGAUGACGGCCUUCGGGUUGUAAACUCCUUUCGCUAGGGACGAAGCGUUUUUGUGACGGUACCUGGAGAAGAAGCACCGGCUAACUACGUG
rnacentral:rRNA from 1 species